GCAGCCAUAUUAUGCUAAAUAUACCGGUUCUCGUUUGAUCACCGAAGUUCAAGCAUCAUCGGGCGUGGUCAGUACUUGGGAGGAUGACCAAGUAGAAACACCACGUGCCGUU